AAGGCUGUACGUUUCAUUUGAUUCCACACUGUUCUCUGUAUGCGGCUUCUUGGUUCUCACGUUGCUUCUGCCACACGGUCUGUGCUGAAAACAAGUUCUGGCUUCUUUGCAUUCUAGGCAGCUGGACUUGCAGGAAACCUAAACCCGUGGUGAGGGUCACUGUUGUCCCACAUUCUAGAAAGUACAACAAAGAACUGAAGACACAUCUGUCCCUGUUACCUACCUGCAGGCCCGGCUUACGGCCCACUUGGUUUGGUGCUGCAGUGAAAGAAGAGCCCAGCACACCACCCCCAGAUUACACCCCGGGGGGCUCCUUCAGCCUGCAGACAGCCCUGGUGUUUUGGGGUGCUUACCGCCAGCAGGAGAAACCCUCUGCAUGGAAAUUACUUUAAUUUGCAGCUGACAAAAGGCAAAUUGCUGGCAUUUUUUUUUUUUUUUUUUUGCGUGGUGCCUGGAAUGUAACCUUGUACAACUGCCCCAGACAUUCCAGGUGACAGCUUCCAUUAGCCCGGCCCAGAUUUCUGGUUGAAGAGGUGGGGAAGAACAUAAGUAAUUUCACAGGGGGCAAAACCCCGCAAUCAUGAUUUCAUCCUACCAACUAAUAUUACUUCGAAUUCCCUCUCACCCUUGUCAGCCCACAAAGCAGAGUCCACGUGGACUCCUAGCAUGUGUGAGUUUUUCUUUGCUUGACCUCCACUGGUGUGUUUCCACACUUCACCGGCUUGUCUUUUUGGUUCGAUGGGAGACAUCUUAUGAUCUACGGCGUUCUGAUUUGUGUGUGACUAGCCAGGAGGUCAUGAGAGCAUGGCCUUCUCAGCUAUAUUCCUUUGCACGAUGCCUGGGAUGUUGUAGGGUCUCCACAUAUUUGUUGAAGGGAAUGAACGGGAAAAUGAAUGGACGGGUAGUUUUUCCCAAGGCCAGAGCGUGGCUGUCUAGUCAGACUUCUAUAGCAUUCCAGAAGGAAGGGCAUCCUUUACUUGUGGUGCUGGUCACCUUCCACUUAAAAUAUGUUCCAGAGAUGCCUGUCUGGGGCGGGGUUCGGUGGAAUGCAGCCUGAAUGGAACGCCUUCUGGGCCAAGUGAGAACGUGAGGCCGCUGCUACCAUCUUGUGGACAGUAUUUGAAAUACAGAUAUGGCCCAAGUGGCCUUUGCACCCUUCCAUUUCUCGCAAGGAAAUCUUGGCUGAUUCUCUGAUAGAAUAUUCUCCUUUGCAGUGCAUUAGGCCACAUUUCCAGAUGCAUGCUUAAUGUAUUUAUAGUCCUCUGUUGAAAGAACCAUCAUCAUUGUCAUAAUAACUCACAUUUAUUGAAUUUUAGGCACUGUGCUAAGUGCUUUAUUAUCAAAAACCUUCUUAAUGCCUGGGCUGUUAUUACCAUCUGUACGGCAGAGAAAGGAAGUUGAGACUCAGAGUGGCUGCACGACCUGUACUUGGCUAGGAAGAGGGAUGAGGGAACCAGGACUUGAUCCAAGCCUGUCUGGCUCUGGACAUUCAGACAUAUCAUGUUUUAAUGGUUUGUUUAUGUGUUUGCUUCCCUGACGCUGAGCACCAUGAGAGUUGGUUAGAGCAGUUGAGUAUGGGGAUUUUAUGUAUCUCUGUGCACCAACUGUGGACCAGGACUGCGCUAGAUGAGGAGAUAUAAAGAUCCGUGCAACUGGGGGAAGGUAUCCUCACGUAUCUGCCACGGGGUUGCAGGAAAACAUGGACAAUGUUCCUGGAGUAUAAUUUGUAAUAAAGAUCGACAGAGGUGUUGAGUAUGUGUGUGUGGGGGAGGUGAAUUAGCAAUUUAACUUGCUAUUUACAACUUUAUUUUUAUCUGAACUGGCCUCCCUAGCACUGCUCGGGUAAACCAUAAUCAUUAUUAAAUCCAUCCAUCCAUCUGUACGUUUCUUUGCUCCUUACCCUGGAGCACUUGACACAGAGCCCGUGUGAGAAGCAGUUCACUGGCAGCUGGGAGUUAGAGAGGGGAGAAUGGUAGCCUCUCUUGGAGGUUCUCCAGGAUGGAAGGGACCCGCAGAGAGUAUCCCAUACUCCACAGAGCCUAUAUUUUGAGUUGGACUACCCCAAAUAAGUCCUCCAUGUUUGAUGAAAAUGUAUGGGCAGUCUGCAUUUGAUGUUAUGCUAGACAAAGCACCAAAAUCUGAUUAAAAUAAAAAGACUGUGAAGUGGGACAUACAGAUUAGAAUCAAUGUGUAAAUUAAGGCAAGAUUUUCACAGAGCUUCACCCUUGUAGGUAAAGCCCAGGCUUUAAGUCCAUUUUCCUGUGUAUUAAGGUACUUGGGGUAAAAGUUCACCGCACACCCAUGUAUCAUUCCUUCCUACGGAGGCAGUGUCACUCGGGGUGACUGAACUCAGCACCACUGUCCUUCCUACUUUAUUCAAGGACUCAGUGGGGAGCAUUCAUCACAGGCCAGGCACAAGGCAGGGUGCUUUGGGAACACAGACAUAGGAAGACAGGGGCUCUGUUCCUGUUGGCUGGCAGGUUUCUCGGCUCGACGUACCAGCCUCUGAAAUAACACGUGCAGCGGCUAAGGACCUACAUGGAGAAACGGGAGAUACAGAGAGGAAAGGAGUAGGUAGGAAAGAACUAGAAAGGGAGAGGGGAGAAGAGGAGGAGCAAAGACAAGAGAGAGACUCUAGACAAGGUGACAGAGAUGGCCCCCAGAGGCCUUGGAGGCCCCCCUGAAGUGUCCAUCCUAGGGGCUUGGGCUCAGCUUAAACAAGCAAGUGCCUUCUUGGGGUCUUUUUUUUUUCUUGAUUAAAAUAUUUAUUUCACCUUUUUUUAUAGUAGUAAAAGACAAGAAAGGACCAAGUGUCUUAGAACUGGAUAUGCUGUAAGUUUGGUGUAUCUAA